CGAUUGGUUAUAAAUAGUGGAACGUUCAGCAGUACUCGGGUUUUACCGCUGCAUACUAUGAAAAGUCUGAGCAUGCGCACUUUCACCGCUUGAUUUUUAAAAACAGUGUCAGUGAUAACCAAACUUGCAGUGAAAUUUAGCUCGAUCCAGAUUCCAGAACAAAGAAAAAGAGUCUUGUAUAAAAAUCCACAGAUCCAAUGUGUCUGAGGUUGAGGAAUGCAUUUCAGUAACACUUAAGCAUGCACCAGCUCAAAAAGAUGGACCAAGAUAUAAAAAGAGACCUGAAACCAACACAAGACCAGCUGAUCAGAGGGCAGAAAACCAAAAUUUGGAAUGACAUGUAUACAACCAACACAAGACUAAAAUUUGGAAUAAAAAUAAAAAAAAUUCAGAAAUA